GAGGUAGCUCAGUUGGUUAGAGCAUGGUGCUGAUAACGUCAAGGUCGCAGGUUUGAUCCCCAUAUGGGACA